UACGUAGGGGGCAAGCGUUGUCCGGAUUUAUUGGGCGUAAAGAGCGUGUAGGCGGCCAGGUAGGUGGGUUGUGAAAACUGGAGGCUCAACCUUCAGACGUCGACCCAAACCCCCUGGCUAGAGUCCGGGAGAGGAGAGUGGAAUUCCUGGUGUAGCGGUGAAAUGCGCAGAUAUCAGGAAGAACACCCGUGGCGAAAGCGGCUCUCUGGAACGGUACUGACGCUGAGACGCGAAAGCGUGGGGAGCGAACAGG
rnacentral:rRNA from 1 species